UCCAAAAUUUUAUUGAUGCAAUUUUGUUUUAUUUUAUUUUAUUCAGUUUAGCCUGAUUUGAAGGUGGCUCGGUUUGCAGAGGAUUAAUGAGAAAUUGUUUUUUACCUGGUAGACUUCCUAUAUAAUACUUACAUGUAUCUUACUGAGGUAUAAUGACAGAAACAAGAUGUCCAAGACUUUACAUUCGUCAAUGUUUGAAGAAUGUAAAACAUUAAUGACAGAAAAUUUUUUGAUUGUUGUUCUCUACUGUUCACUGAUUUUUUUCUCAUUUAUUACCUAUUGUGCAAUUUCUGACGUGUUUCAUUGAAUCUUAACA